rnacentral:rRNA from 1 species
UACGGAGGAUCCAAGCGUUAUCCGGAUUUAUUGGGUUUAAAGGGUGCGUAGGCGGCCCAUUAAGUCAGGGGUGAAAGACGGCAGCUUAACUGUCGCAGUGCCUUUGAUACUGAUGGGCUUGAAUUUGAUUGAAGAUGGCGGAAUGAGACAAGUAGCGGUGAAAUGCAUAGAUAUGUCUCAGAACCCCGAUUGCGAAGGCAGCUGUCUAGGUCAAUAUUGACGCUGAUGCACGAAAGCGUGGGGAUCAAACAGG